rnacentral:rRNA from 1 species
UGAGGAACAUGACCUUCGGCGGGGGAUAGCCGGCCCAACGGCCGGGUAAUACCGCGUACGACCUUUUGGGGACAUCCCCGAAUGGUGAAAGCAGCAAUGCGCCGAUGGAGUGCCUCGCGGCCUAUCAGCUAGUUGGUGAGGUAAUAGCUCACCAAGGCGAUGACGGGUAGCCGGCCUGAGAGGGUGACCGGCCACACUGGGACUGAGACACGGCCCAGACUCCUACGGGAGCAGCAGG